rnacentral:ncRNA from 2 species
AUAUUACAUCUGGGGUGCCAUUUUGGCUGAGAUAUACCCAUUGAACCUGCUCUGGUUAGUACCAGCGAAGGGAGAUAUUAAAAUCGCUAU